CUAGAGAUGUAGCCCAAUGGAAGAAUGCAUGCCUUGCAUGUAAGAGGCCCUGGGUUCAAUCGCCAGUUUCUGGA
rnacentral:tRNA from 1 species